GCUUGCUUGUUGGGGUUGUAGGACACUCUAUACGGAGUUACAAAGGACGACAUUAGACGAAUCAUCUGGAAAGAUGAAUCAAAGAAGGUAAUAAUCCUGUAGUCGAAAAUGUUGUCUCUCUUGAGUGGAUCCUGAGUACGACGGAGCACGUGAAAUUCCGUCGGAAUCUGGGAGGACCAUCUCCUAAGGCUAAAUACUCUCUAGUGACCGAUAGUGAACCAGUACCGUGAGGGAAAGGUGAAAAGCACCCCGGAAGGGGAGUGAAAUAGAACCUGAAACCGUGUGCUUACAAGUAGUCAGAGCCCGUUAAUGGGUGAUGGCGUGCCUUUUGUAGAAUGAACCGGCGAGUUACGAUUUGAUGCAAGGUUAAGCAGUAAAUGUGGAGCCGUAGCGAAAGCGAGUCUGAAUAGGGCGUUUAGUAUUUGGUCGUAGACCCGAAACCAGGUGAUCUACCCUUGGUCAGGUUGAAGUUCAGGUAACACUGAAUGGAGGACCGAACCGACUUACGUUGAAAAGUGAGCGGAUGAACUGAGGGUAGCGGAGAAAUUCCAAUCGAACCUGGAGAUAGCUGGUUCUCUCCGAAAUAGCUUUAGGGCUAGCCUCAAGUGAUGAUUAUUGGAGGUAGAGCACUGUUUGGACGAGGGGCCCCUCUCGGGUUACCG
rnacentral:rRNA from 1 species